AAAGAAAGCCGCCAAAUAAAAUGUGCUCUAAUUAUACAGUACAAAACCCACAGCAAGAGUUCCUCUUCCUCUCUCUCUGCUAGUGCUAUUCUCUCUCUCUCGCUUCCAUGGCUUUUGCUGCUUCGAUCUCUAACACAUCUUGUAUUCUCUCUUCAAGCGCAUUGUCUCUCGAUACCAACCACAAGAAGAAGAUCUCUCCUUCUUCAUGCUCAGCUUUAUCUUCUCUCUCUCGUUCUCCUCUUUUCAGGAACAAACAGCUGAAGAAUUUGCUUGGCCAUUGUUUCAGGACAGGUUUUGUUUCCCAAUGGGGAAGAAUGGAUUCGGCAUUUGGCAAUGUCUCUUCUUCAGUUAAAGCUG
rnacentral:misc_RNA from 1 species